CGAUGAAGCUGUCCUUGUUGGUUUGCGUCCCUAACCCAUGGGAGUGCCAGAAACCAUGCCAUGCAGCCUUCCCCAGCGAAGGCUAGUGACUCCACACAGCCAGCAGCGAACAUGCGCCGUAUGACUCACUCUGCACACCAGGUUCAGAAUGAAGGCUGAUGCUCUGCUGUGAGAUGCUACCCAGCGUGCUGGAGUGAUAACCUGCAGAAUUUUGCUUGAAAGCAGGAAAGAACCUCUGGGGGAGGAGAACAGACAGCACUGUCACUUUUUUGUAUCGCUUCCCUUUUACCAGACACCAGGAAUAAAGCGUGGGAGUGCAAGUGCGUGCAUGUGUAGCAAGAGAAGAGAACCUUGUUAAAAAAGAUUCAAACAGAAGAGCCAAUCUAUCCCCUUGAUUUCCAGCACAACCCCUUUUCUCAGACGCAUGGACUGACAAGUGCUACAGAGUGCCGAUGAUGACCCAGUGCUGAAUUGAUGCUGCCGCCGCUGCUGCUCCUAUUUUGUCUCAGUCGUCCACAGCUGGUUUUAGAGCUCCACUGCCCGUUCUUAUUCCACUGAUCAGGCCAACAGCAGCAGAGUGGACAUGGGGUCCCUCAUUUGCACCAUUGUGUUACUCGCUUUAAUUUUUCAAGGCAACUGUUUGGGAUCCAGAAGCCCACUGUCUGUUUUUAAAAGAUAUCAAGAGAAUUACUGGCCUCCCUCCAAUGAAUGCGCAAGAACCAGACGGUCGGCUGCUUCUGCUGAUGCUCAGAAUUUUACUAUUAAUAUUGGGAUGCCAGGGGUUACUCCU